UGGACGUUACUCGCAGAAUAAGCACCGGCUAACUCUGUGCCAGCAGCCGCGGUAAUACAGAGGGUGCAAGCGUUAAUCGGAUUUACUGGGCGUAAAGCGCGCGUAGGUGGCCAAUUAAGUCAGAAUGUGAAAUCCCCGAGCUUAACUAGGGAAUUGCAUUCGAUACUGGUUGGCUAGAGUAUGGGAGAGGAUGGUAGAAUUCCAGGUGUAGCGGUGAAAUGCGUAGAGAUCUGGAGGAAUACCGAUGGCGAAGGCAGCCAUCUGGCCUAAUACUGACACUGAGGUGCGAAAGCAUGGGGAGCAAACAGGAUUAGAUACCCUGGUAGUCCAUGCCGUAAACGAUGUCUACUAGCCGUUGGGGCCUUUGAGGCUUUAGUGGCGCAGCUAACGCGAUAAGUAGACCGCCUGGGGAGUACGGUCGCAAGACUAAAACUCAAAUGAAUUGACGGGGGCCCGCACAAGCGGUGGAGCAUGUGGUUUAAUUCGAUGCAACGCGAAGAACCUACCUGGUCUNGACAUAGUAAGAACUUUCCAGAGAUGGAU
rnacentral:rRNA from 1 species